rnacentral:tRNA from 1 species
UGAGGUGUGGUGUAACGGUAACACACGAGAUUUUGGUUCUCGCGUUGGAGGUUCGAAUCCUUCCAUCUCAA